UAAGUUGAAGAAAGGCGCUGAACUAAGUAACUUGGUUAUUCAUUGCGUGGUGCUGUUGUGCAGGAACCGAUAGCCCGGGCGGCGUGUUGGCACAGCGAGGAUAAUGAACGAGAGACCCGAUAGACAGCGAUGACAGCUGUUCACGGCACCGACACAGAGGACAGAUUGCAGUGCAAGGUAGGAGCGGUCUUCCUGCAAGCCCAGACAAGCCAUAUUGAGUGGUUUCAAAUACAGCAACUGUACCACCACGACAGUGCAGCACAAGAGACCCUAUCGUCAGUGCUGAGUCAGAAAUUAAAUAGAAAAGUGCUUUCU